UCCCUCUCACUAUUGCUUCUGCUUCUCCCCUGAUCUUCUUUUAAAUUUAUCUUGUAGAUCCCCAUUACCGAUAAUCUUUUAUGUAGAUGUGUGUGAACGGUGGGGAGAUAUUGCGAUCAUGCUAGCACCGAAGAAGCAACGGCACCAGCCACGAUGAGGAUUCUGACCAUGCCCUCGCCCUCUUUCUUUGUGGCAAGAGAACGAUACCUAAAACACAGAGAACACCCGAAAAAAAAAAACAGAUCCAGAUGCAUGUCUCAGAAGAAGAACCGACCUGCUUUAAAUGCGAGGAGAGCAGAUGGGAAGAGGUUGAAGGUCUAAAAGAUCUGAUAUCGAUAUUGGACAAGCACUGCUCCCAGCAAAAUUGAAGUUCUCAGCGGGCAUCUUCUCUUUCCAUGUAUGAUUUCGUCUCUCUACCAAUGGGUUACAGGUAAGUGCAAACAUGCCGUGCUGUGUGCUGGGGAUAAUAAUGAAGAUCCUCUUUGAUUGUGAGCAGGAUGGCAAAGGUUCUGCAUAUCCUGAGCUCAAACGACGUUGAGAUAUUAUCCAUAAAGGUUGAUGAGAUCCAGCUGAAGCUAAAACGAACGGGCAAGAUGAGAAGGCUGAGAAGUUGCAGGUGGAUGCUCUUUCUUCUGAAUCUAAAGUGUUGUAAGAGAUUUUGGUAGUCCAGAAGUAAAUGCAGGGAGAAUCACUUUUACAUAAAAUCAGAGAUUUAGAGGAUGACUUUUCUGAGGCACAAGGAACUAUAAUCCAUUGGAAGCUAUUAGCUUUUUGUCUCUGGUAUACCAGUGAAGCGGUACAUGGCAAUAUCAAUGCCUGUAAAAGAGAUAAAUAUGUUCCCCUGGCGAUACGAGUGAGGAAAUAUUAUGCAGAAGCUAUCUUAGUGCAAGUUUCUUAUUCCUAUGUGCUAUUGUUCAUGCAC